rnacentral:lncRNA from 1 species
CCUAUAGUAGUUUUCCAUCAUCACAUCUCUAUAAGGGCUCCUUUGAUCAGGUGCCAGAAAAUCCUACUCCUUCUAAGUAAAUUUCACAGCCACAGCUUCAAAGGCCAUUAACUCCAUUUCCUGGAUCAAGAUUCUGAGGCUUUCUUUGGGCAUCAGCCAUACCGUCCAAGAGGGAAGAGGGAAAAAGGUGGAACUGCAGCCACAUGGAGCAAUCUGGAAUCAAAUGGGAGAAGUUUGUGCCAUGCAGGCUGGUGGAACAACUGGGAUUUUACUUUACAAUGGGUUAUGGCUGAGACACUUCUAACACAAGACAGAUUAACAAGAGAGAAGCAUACGUAUUCAUGUAAUAUAAGUUUUAUGUGACAUGGAGGACUUCACGAGGAAAGAAAGACUCCAAGAAACAGAAGUGUUUUGGAAAAACAUUGCAAAUAGAGUAAACAGUUAAGUGUGAUGGAGACAUUUGGAAAGUGAAGAAUCUUGGAAUUGAGGGAGGGAAUAUGCGGAUCACGAUUAGACAAAGCCAAAGGUCCUCCUAUCUUGAUGAUCCCAGUGGAAGCCCAGAAGCUUAGACCUCUCUUUUUGACUUCCAUGUGAGUGAUCUAAUCCAGAUGGAAAUUUUUUCAUAGACACUGUAAAGCACUCCAUAUGUGAAGCAAACAAAAGAAAGUGAUAGAUAAUGAACUAUAUGAAAGCUGAAUUACCCAUUAAGAGGUUAUGCUGAGGUCUGAUAAUGAAUUAACUUAACAUAGUGUGAAUGCUGCAGAUAAUACUAAACAAACAAACAACAUCUUUCUUCCUCUGCUUGCCUUUUUGAGGGUCACUGAAAUUAUGAAUGUCUUUACCAGUUGGCGAGAGAUAUAACUUUUUAUUUAUUAUUUCAGUUGAAUAAUACCUUUAGUUGUUCUUUGUAACCCCUUCUUUGUGUGUUAUAUAGCCUCUUGGCGGCAAUCCAACCAUGGACAAUUUUUUUUUAACAUUUUGAACUGCAGUGUCUUCAUUUUUAGUAGAGGACAGUGUGCUUACUUCAAGUAUUAUUGAAGAAGAUAAAUGAUAAAACCUAUAAAUGGAUUAGCAGAUUGCAUGGUGUGUAACAUGCUCUACGUGAUAGGAGCCAAUGGUGUUACCAUGCUUUGCAUUAUCAUCACCUUAGUACCAAAAAGUAAGAUAGAGAUGAAGUUACCCAAAAGCAAAGGAAGAGGAUCCCUCUUUCUCCAAGGUGAUAGAGUACAUCUAGAAACUUUGAACAUCAAUCACAUCAAUAUUAGACUUAAAAAGACUUAAAUACAGGAGUAUCCAACAGAAGAGCCAAAAUUAAGAAGAAUGACAAUACCAAGUGUUGGUGAGGCUGUUGAGCACCUGGAACUUUCAUCUGUUGACAUGAGACUGUAAAAUUGUACAACCACUUUGGAAAAUGAGCUGACAACUUCUUAUAAAAUUAAAUUUGCAUCUAUGCUGUGACCAAACAAGGCCAGCUAUAGGUAUUUACUCAAAGGAAAUAACUGUGUAUAUAAAAUGUGUAUAUAAAAUAUGUUACAAAAAUGUCCAGAGCAAACUUAUCAACAGACAACACUGGAAAGAGCCUAGAUAUUCAUCAAUAGAUAGAUAGAUAGAUAAACUGUGGCAUAGAGUUACUUCUACAUAACAAUAAAAAGGGACAAACUACUAUAUGCUUGAUGAAUCCCAAAAAUGUUUUGCCCAGUUGAAGAAGCCCUAUUCAAAUGAGACUCAUAUCAUAUGACAUUUUAUAAUAGGGGCCAAGCAGGAUGACUGAAAGGGGGUGUGAGGAUCUUUCUCAGGUGGUGAUAACUUUAAGAGGUGGUGUUACACAGAUACAUGCAUUUCAAAUUCUCCACAAAUGUGCACUUAAGAUAUGUGCAUUUUAUUAUAUGUAUUUCAUAUCAAAUAAAACUACAAAUAUUGAACUCAAAUUAAACACAGGUUAAGUUGUUAAGAAGAUAUGAUAUCAGCAAUUUAUUUUGAAAUGCAUCUAAAAUAUGAUGAAUUAACAAUGAACAGAGGAUUAGAAAUGAAAUAGAGUAAAUACAAAUAGUAAGGGCUGGGGAUUUAGCUCAGUGGUUUUGCCACCUGCUGCUCAAGGGCAAGGACCUGAGUUCGAUUCCCAGUACCCCCCCCCAAAAAAAAUAUACACAAAUGGUAAAACUAGGUAGUAGGUAAAAAUUCUUUUCAUGUUCUAUAUUUGUUAAUUUUUAUAAAAUGUUGAGAAAAUGUAGUGGCAAAAUUUCUUUACUGCCUGAAGGAAUAAUUCUUUUUUCUGUUAGUUUUAUUAGUACAUGUUUAUAAUACAUAAUAAUACAUUUAAUUCUCUUUUUCUUUUUUUAUUCCCUACCUUUUCCUCCCUCCCUGCUCCUUCCAACUCUUGGUCCACUUCCCAUUUGCAAAAACUCUGUUUUCAUCAUUUUUCCUCUUCAAUCCUUUUUUCCCAUCCCCUUUCCUUCUCCUCCCUUCCUCCUUCCUCUCUCCAUCUCUUGUUCCCCUAUUCAUUUGAAAAAAGGGGUACAUUCAUACCCACGUUUGUAGCAGUACAGUUUGUAAUAGCUAAAUCUUGGAAUCAGCCUAUAUGCCCAUCAACAGAUAGAUGGAUAAAAAUGUGAUAUUUACACACCACGGAGUACUACUCUGACAUAAAGAAAGAUAAACUUGAGGCAUUUGUAGGUAAAUGGGUGCAACCUGAGACCAUAAUAUUAAGUGAAAUAAGUCAGAGACACAAGCUUAAAUAUCACAUGGCUUUUCUUAUAUGAGAAUCUCUCAAUAGGUAGAUAGAUAGAUAGACAAAGAGCAAGUAGGGAGAUGCUUUUCAAGUAGAGAAGUAAUUUUUAAUGUUCCUUUCCAAUAGUAGUCUUGCUCUAUUAAAAUAAAUUACUUAUAAAGUAUAUAAAAAAGAAUGUACAGUGGUUCUGAGUAAGUAGAGAUAAUAAAAGAUAUCUCAAUAAAAGACAGAACUAGUUAAAGAUGAGUUCCCUUUCCCUGCUUUUUCUCUCUCCUCACUUUUCUACUCACCUGGCAGUGCCCACUAACUUAUGCCUACUAUUAAAAAAAAGGCAGGUCCUGCCCAUUUGCAUCUGAGUUGGAAGCAAGACCAUCUCAUUUAAGAAGAGGGCAGGGAAUGUAAGACAGAUGGCUGAAAAUGGUACCUGGUACCGAUGUGCCUCUGCCAAGACCAAGAUUGUGUGAAAUGAGCAUGGCAAUAGAUCUGUGCCUUUCCUAUAAAGAUGGAAAGCCCUGUGUUGCUAACUUAAUAUAGUAAAUAUGGAGAAAACAAAAGUGCUUGUUUUCCACUGGGCUGGGAAUAAGAGCAGCACUGGAUAUGAAAAAUGGAAUUUUCGAGGAUUUAGCUCAGUGGUUCCGGCUCCUGCCUUGCAAGGGAAAGGUCCCAAGUUUGAUCCCCGGUACCAAAAAAAAAAAAAAAGGAAUUUUCCUUUUGUCGGCAGAAUAUGGUUAUCUACUUUUCCACAUUAGGAGUAGUUGGCAUCAUUUUUUAUAGGGUCUGGGCCCAUAUACACUAGCUGUGUGUUGACUUCGAUACUUUUUCUUGAAUAAAAUUCAUAGCAAAGUAAAAAGUGUACAUUAUCAUAAAAAAUAAAUAAGAUGUCAAGAAAAGCUUUAUCAAAGCAAUAUAAUUCCUUCUUUUAGAAAUGUCACAGGAUUUUACAUUUUAUAGAUGAGCAUGUGAUCUGUUUACUUUGGCACAAAGGAAAGGAAAUUUAAGCAAAAAUCAAAGGAAAUGACCUUAUCAAGGCUGUGACUCCAUAAUAACAAAUGGGCUGACAACAUUUGAUUUUAAUGAACACAUGAGUGAAAGUAAUUAUGCAUAAUUGUUAAUUUUGCCUUAUAUAAUUUUAG